AUUGAACGCUGGCGGCAUGCCUUACACAUGCAAGUCGAACGGUAAGGCCCUUCGGGGUACACGAGUGGCGAACGGGUGAGUAACACGUGGGUGAUCUGCCCUGCACUUCGGGAUAAGCGUGGGAAACUGGGUCUAAUACCGGAUAGGACCACUGCCUGCAUGGGUGGUGGUGGAAAGCUUUUGCGGUGUGGGAUGGGCCCGCGGCCUAUCAGCUUGUUGGUGGGGUGAUGGCCUACUAAGGCGACGACGGGUAGCCGGCCUGAGAGGGUGACCGGCCACACUGGGACUGAGAUACGGCCCAGACUCCUACGGGAGGCAGCAGUGGGGAAUAUUGCACAAUGGGCGCAAGCCUGAUGCAGCGACGCCGCGUGAGGGAUGACGGCCUUCGGGUUGUAAACCUCUUUCAGCACCGACGAAGCGCAAGUGACGGUAGGUGCAGAAGAAGGACCGGCCAACUACGUGCCAGCAGCCGCCGUAA
rnacentral:rRNA from 1 species